AUUGAACGCUGGCGGCAUGCCUUACACAUGCAAGUCGAACGGUAACGGGCCUUCGGGUGCCGACGAGUGGCGAACGGGUGAGUAAUGUAUCGGAACGUACCUUUCAGUGGGGGAUAACGUAGCGAAAGUUACGCUAAUACCGCGUAUUCUGUGCGCAGGAAAGCAGGGGAUCGCAAGACCUUGCGCUGAUUGAGCGGCCGAUAUCAGAUUAGCUAGUUGGUGAGGUAAAGGCUCACCAAGGCGACGAUCUGUAGCGGGUCUGGGAGGAUGAUCCGCCACACUGGAACUGAGACACGGUCCAGACUCCUACGGGAGGCAGCAGUGGGGAAUUUUGGAUAAUGGGCGCAAGCCUGAUCCAGCCAUGCCGCGUGAGUGAAGGAGGCCUUCGGGUUGUAAAGCUCUUUCGGCCGGGAAGAAAUCGUAUGGGUUAAUACCCUGUGCGGAUGACGUUACCGACAGAAUAAGCACCGGCUAACUUCGUGCCAGCAGCCGCUGUAAAAC
rnacentral:rRNA from 1 species